AUUGAACGCUGGCGGCAGGCCUAACACAUGCAAGUCGAACGAGUGGCGGACGGGUGAGUAAUGUCUGGGAAACUGCCUGAUGGAGGGGGAUAACUACUGGAAACGGUAGCUAAUACCGCAUACCAUCAGAUGUGCCCAGAUGGGAUUAGCUUGUUGGUGGGGUAACGGCGCACAAGGGCGACGAUCCCUAGCUGGUCUGAGAGGAUGACAAGCCACACUGGAAAUGAGACACGGUCCAGACUCCUACGGGAGGCAGCAGUGGAGAGUAUUGCACAAUGGGCUCAAGCCUGAUGCAGCCAUGCCGCGUGUAUGAAGAAGGCCUUCGGGUUGUAAAGUACUUUCAGCGAUGAGGCGUUACCCGCAGAAGAAGCACCGGCUAACUCAGUGACAGCAGCCGCGGUAAUUC
rnacentral:rRNA from 1 species